AGAUGCUUGCCUCGUACAAGGAGGGGGUGUGUACCAUGUGGGAACCGUGUUCCCAUAAUCUUGAUUCUGUCCGGUUCCAUCCAAAGUGCAUAAAGAAACCUAGUUCCCACGCUGGAAACUGAUAACAGUGCUCGGUAUUUUAUGUUUAUUACCAGUUAUUGUUAAUUUAUUGCGCGACUUUCAUGGGAGUUGUAUCAAUAUGUCUUGAUCCCUUUUCUUGUUCUUUGAUUUACCGGGACCAUAUUCUGAAAAUAUUGUAAUCGUCGCUCGGUAAGGGUAUGGAUUGCUGGUUCAAGAGGUUUGCAAUAUCUAUUUACACUCGUAUCACUUGGUGCUGGAUUCAUAUGUUUUUCUUCUGUAUUAAAAAGUUACGUAUGUGUAUUAAUAUUGGUACCGAGGGGGCACUGCGCACUUACAAAAUUUUUACAAGUCCGCUGGAUUAAAAUAAUGUGACGUGCUUUGUUCCUCUCGGCGCUUUUUGCUUGUAUUUGAGCAAUCAUUUGUUAGAGGCAGCCAGGCCAGAUCUGAAAAUAUGGCAAGUUUUUAGAAAUUGAUGCUGCGCCUUUUAGUUGCCAACACGUUCUUAUGUUGGUUUUCAGGUAAUUCUCUUUUGUUUCACUCCCUUUUAUUCGUCUUUAAGAUCUCGGAAUGGAAGUCCUCAGCUUCCUUGUCCCCCGCAUCUUUGAGUCUCAUCUUAAAGCUGAAGGUCAUUAUUUUUGGCCUGUCCAGCAGUUUUGUUGUGGUUGAGAGAAAGGUUUAAAGGAUGCAUGAGAUGCUUGCCUCGUACAAGGGUGUCUAUUAUGUGGGAACCGUGUUCCCAAAAUCUUGAUUCCGUCUGGUCCAUAGUCCCUGCAAAGUCAUUCCAUCCAAAGUGCAUAAAGAAACAUAGUUCCCACGUUGGAAACUAAUAGUGUUGUUCCUUUCGACUUUUGUUACCAGUUUAUUUUUUGUUUGAUGUUCGCGGGAGUUGUAUCAGUAUGUCUUGAUCCCUUUUCUUGUUUUUUGAUUUACAGGGACCAUAUUCUGACAAUAUUAUAACGCUCGCUCGGUAAGGGUGUGGAUUGCUGGUUCGAGAGGUACGCGACAUCUCUAUUUACACUCGUAUCACUUGGUGCUGGAUUCAAAUAUUUCUCUUUGGAAGUAAAAGUUACGUAUUUUUUUAAUGUUGGUACCAAAGGGGUACUGCUGCGCAUUACAAAAAUUUCUACAAGUCUGCUAGAUUCAAAUAAUAUUUCUCUCACGCUUUUUGGUUGUAUUUGAGCAAUAAUUUGUCAGAGGCGGCAGGCCAGAUCGGGAAAUAUGGCAACUUUUUAGAAAUUGAUGCUGCGCGUUUACUUUACCAACAAGUUCUUAUGUUGGUUUUCAGGUAAUUCUCUUCCGCCCCGCUCCCUUUUAAUCAUCUUUAAUAUCUCAGCAUGGAAGUCCUCAGCUUCCUUGCCCCCCGGGCCCCACUUCUUUUAGUCUGCUCUUAAAGCUGGAGGUCAUUUUUUUUUGACGUUUGUUGUAGUCAAGAGAAAGGUUUCUAGGAUGCAUGAGAUGCUUGCCUCGUACUAGGGUGUCUUUUAUGUGGGAACCAUGUUCCCGUAAUCUUGGUUCUGUCUAUGGUUCGUAGUCCCAUAUGAACGAGGAUGCUGUGUUCUCGGGAUUUUUAUCUGAUGCGAGAAAGGUCGUCAUUCUUUAUUUCGAAGCCACAUUAGAUUGAUUUUGUGUCCCGGUAAAAGUGCCCUACUUUAUUUUAUUGAAAGUGAGAGUAAAUUGAUUUAUUGUUUCAAAAUAAAUUUGCGUCCGUGUUUAAUGGAAAAUUUUACGAUUUCUUCGGAGAAAGUAGAAUUCCCCAUGUCCUUCGGGUAGUUGGAACUUAAAAAGAAUGUGCUUGGAUCUUCUAACAGCAAGUAAAUAUUUUUGGGCAUUGUUUUAAGGUUCUUGCUUCCUUUGGUAGAAAAUAAUUUUUUAUGGUGUUCCGGUCCUGAAUUAUUGCUCAGAAACUGAAAGCAUGUUUUGUAAAUCUUUUAAAAAAUAAAUGAGCUUGAUGAACAAGAAAAUUUCCCAUUCUUGAGAAAACAAAAAAUGUUCCCUGGUCCCCCGGGUAGCACCAACUGUGAGAAAAUGUGUCUUGAGCAUUUUGAUUCCUAGUAAAUAUGUUUAUGUGUGUCGCUUCGGCAGUGAAAGCUAUCGUGAUGGGCACCCUUUCUCUCUUAGACGUUGCAAUUGGAUUUUCUAGUAUUUGAUAACCAUUUACAAAAGAUAUGUAUGCUCGGUUUUUGGAACUUUCAGAUGUAGUUUAUUGGAGAAAUGUUGUUGGUAUGUGUUUUGAAGCUUCAUUCAUGAAAUAUAGUUGGUGAAGGAUCAUUGUGGGCCGGGUCUCUUGAGUAGAAAACAUUAUUUCUGCAGCCCUUGCAUGCACGAUGAAUGUUUUAUCUGAGAUUCUCGGUCCAAAAUGUAAGAGCUUCAAUUCCAUAUUAACUACAUUUCAGUCCCAAAAUACUAGGGAAGCCAAUAUUUCAUUUUGAAAGUUAAAGGGUGUUGAUGUGUGUUUUGAAGCUUCAUACAUGAAAUAUAGCCGGUGAAGGAUCACUGUUGGCCGGGUCUCUUGAGUAGAAAACAGUAUUUGUGCAGCCCCUGCAUUCACAAUGAAUGUUUUAUUUGAGAUUCUCGGUCCAAAAUGUAAGAGCUUCAAUUCCAUAGUAACUACCUUUUCAGUCCCAAAAUACCAGGAAAGCCAAUAUUUCAUUUUGAAAGUUAAAGGUUGCUGAUGUGUGUUUUGAAGCUUCAUUUAUGAAAUAUAGUUGGUGAAGGAUCAUUAUUGGCCGGGUCUCUUGAGUAGAAAACAUUAUUUCUGCAGCCCGUGCAUUCGAAAUGAAUGCUCUAUUUGAGAUUCUCGGUCCAAAAUGUAAGAGCUUCAAUUCCAUAUUAACUUACUUUCAGGCCACAAAAAUCUAGGACAGGCAAUAUUUCAUUUUGAACGUUAAAGGUUGUUGCUGUGUGUUUUGAAGCUUCAUUUAUGAAAUAUAGUUGGUGAAGGAUCAAAAUUGGCCGGGUCUCUUUGAGUAGAAAACAUUAUUUGUGCAGCCCUUGCAUUCACAAUGAAUGUUUUAUUUGAGAUUCUGGGUCCAAAAUGUAAGAGGUUCAAUUCCAUAUUAACUACCCUUUAGUCCUAGGAAAGGCAAUAUUUCAUUUUGAAAGUGGAAGUUUUUGUCGAUAUUUCAAAACAAACUUAUGUGCCUCGGUGCAUGAGAACGUGAAUCUUGAUUUUUUGUGGCAAAAUGAAACUGCUUGCAACCCUCAAGAUGUACAGCCUCAAAAAGAUGUGGCUUAAAAUCUCAAGCCAAAGUUUGGGUGCGUCGGUUUGAAAGUGAGAGUUUCUUUGAUCACGCACUUUCUUUUGGAGAGUUAGGCGACGUUUCACUUAGUGGUGGCAAUAUGCUCUCCCAAUCUAUUUUUAGCGCGGACAGAAAAAGUUUCGUGCUAGGUUAUGGGAAUCGUCAUUAUACGUGGAAGAGGUUGCCGUUCUUUAUUUUGAAGCCACAUCGAUAAUCUAGUUGCAGCGUUUUUCCUCUGUAGAGGUGCCCCGAUUCGAUAUUUUGAAACCGACACUGUAUUUACUGAUUCUUUUAAAAUAAGUGUGCCCCUCGGUAUUCAAGCAGAAGUUUCUCUGUUUUUUGGGGAAGAGUAAAAUUGCUCUGUUCUCUUGGUUGGUUGGAACAUAGAAAGCAAUAUGUUUGGAUCUUUUGAUUGCAAGUAAAUAUUUUUUCGGCACGUGGUUUUAAAGCUUUUUGGCUUUUGUUAAAGAAUAGUUUUUUUAAAAAAAUAUAUAUACAAAAGAAUAGUUUCCUGUUUUGGAAGUUUCCUGGUUUGGGAAGUAAAUGAGACUCAAUUUAUACUUUAAAACCUAAAAGCUGUUUUUAUGCAUUAUUUAUGGAUAAAUGUGUGACUUGAUGCACAAGAAAAUGAAUUUUGAUUUCUUGGGGCAAUGUAAAUCUGCUUGGGUCUCUCUCGCAGUUCCAAGUUUUAGAAAAACUUGCAUUGACAAAGAUUUGAGGAUAUUGUGACAGCACCACUUCUGACACGGUAACUUGCUUUCAAUAUUUAGUUUACGUAAGGCAUACGAGAUGUGUUUUGAAGGUUUUGAAACCCAUGGUCUGUUGCUGCGAAAAUAUAUCAUUCGGAGUCCCGUAUUCAGAAAGUAAAAGGCCUCGAUUAAUCUUUUCGAAAGCUAGCCUGUCCAUUUAUUUUUUGAAAACGAUUUUUUUUGUUGGUCCCCUGAGCAAAUGUUCCUCAAUUUUUUGGGGCAAUGUGAGAUUUUGCAAAAUGUCCCUUGGAUAAUUCUUUCUCUAGCAAAAUGUCCCUUGAUCUUUUAGUUGGAAGUAACUAUUCUUUGCUAUGUUGGUUUAAUUAAAGUUUCUCUUGAUCUUUUGCUUUCGAAAUAAAUCUGCAGGUGUCCCCACAGGGAAAUUGUAGCAGUUGGAAAAGUAAGUGGAGGUCAAGUAAUUUUUUUAGAAACUGAAGGCGUGUUCUAUCGAUUAUUUUGAAAGAUAAGUGUGCCUUGGUGCAAAAGAAAAUGACUUUGGAUUUGCUGCAGCAAAGCAAAACUUUUUUGAUGCCCUGGGUUUUCGGAACUCUAAAAGUUGUGGUUUGGACUCUUGAUUCAAAGUAAGUGUUUUUGAGAAUACGUUGGUUUAAAGGAAAAGUAACUCUGAUAACAAACACCCUUUCUCUUGGAGAGUUGGCAGCCUUUCUCUACGUAACUGGCAGUGUGCUUUCUCAAUCAUUUUAUUGCUACGGGCGUAAGACAUGAUUGCUCGGUUAAAGGAGAUAUUCAUUUUAUUUGAGAAAGGCCUUCGUUCUUGAUUUGGGAGCCAAUUUAAUGAACUUCAGUAAAAGUGGGCGAAUUCAUUGACUCGCAAAUGAGAGUGCUUUGGUUUAUUGUUUCAAAAUAAAUGUACUUUGACUCCUAGGCAACGGUUUUUUAAAUUUCUCGGGAAAAAGUAAAAUUCAACCCGUCGCUCGGCCAGUUGGAGCUCAAAAAAAGCAUGCAUGUAUGCUGAAUUUGUCUUGGUUCUAAUCAUUGUUCUAAUGUAGGUCUUCAAAAAAUUGACCGAGAAAACUAUUUGAGAGAACCAAACCUUCGAAGUCUAUCGGACCCAAAGUGUAGUAGUCUAACCAAACUUCAGACCUUGUGGGAUCUUUUCUCUGUUUUCCUUUUUUUUUUUAAAGCAAUAUCUGUGGUUAAAAGAGAUUGGUACGUUUAACAUGCAAGGCAACUACGGAGCCUGGCGUAACCGCGUCAAUAUUAUGUUGCUGACUUUUCUUUGCUGUAGGUACUUAGUGGGAAACUUGUUUAAGCGGAAAGAACGGAGUUUGUUCCAGUGGCUAUCUACACAAACAACGUGUGCUACGCGGAAUGUGAGUAUUAUGUUACCCUGGAUUGUCUUGAAAAUAUUUCUCUCGCUUUUACUUUGUUUAAGAAACAUUUGUAGUUGUACAAAAUUAACGUUUAGAACAUGCGAGACGGUUAAAAAGCUACAGAUAACAGGGUAUGCUCAUUUUGCCAGCCUUUCCUUGGUGCAGCAAAUUGGAGCGAGGGUGAAGCCUUCCUAAGUGUAGAGCUACAGAUUGAAGGUUUUUGGACCCUACUUUAUUUAAUUUAAUAGUGGAACUUAUCCUUCUUGGAAAAUAGUAAAAGAGGCAAUCGGACCUGCUUUGUUGUUGUUUACUAGAGACGUGUUACUGAAAGGAACAAAUGAGGUUUCUUCCCAUUGCUGGUUGUGCAGGUGACGAGUGCGGCUGCGUGGCUUCUGAGUGUGAUUUUACUCCGUGUACAUUAUCAGGGAAUGGAGUUUUUACUCUUACCGAGUUUUAUUUUAUAGGGUUGUCGUCCCCGUAUUUGUAUCUGCAAUUUGUGUAGUGUUGGAACGGAAGUUUAUGGCUUGAACUUCCAUUUUGGUGGAUAUUCAACUUGGGAAAUAAGUCAUUUAGCGUGGUCCAGUUCCAGUGGAGUUCAUAGCAACCAUGUUGGCUCUUAACAAGCGGACUGAUCCGUUGAAUUACUUGCAAAUUUUGUGCUUGACUAGGGAUCUUUUGUUGAUAAAUAGAUCUUCCUAAGUGUUGGUUUGUAGUUAAUUUGAUUUUUUACCCACAAGUAGUCUUGUUCUUUUUAUCUUCGGUAUUAAACCCCUUGUUUCCUUGGAGAAGCAGCUGUUUUUGUUUCUAUUCGUGUCGUUUUGUUUACUUAGGCUCCUGUACAGUUUGCAAUUUUUUUUUGGGGCUUCAAAUGAUGAUCCAAUGUAGUGGUAAUUCGUACUGUUUCUGUUGCAAAAUGAGGAGUCAGUAUUCUGCAUAUUAGCAAAUGAUUAUUUAUACUUUGUGAUGCUCUUGGAAGUCCUUUAACCAUGGCUUGAUCCUUGUUCGUGUCUCUCUGAUUUGUGGGCGCGGCUAAAUGAUAUCCUUGGUGCAGGUGAAGUUUGUGAUUGUUAUUUGAAGAGGUACCCAAUAUCUGGCCAUUCUUCGCUGUUGUUUUCUUUCUUGCUACAUGUCAUUUUCACAGGUGCAGCUAUUUUUAUUCCAUAUUCGUCUUAUUGUUGGGCAGUGAUGCGGAGAUUGUGGCGGGGGAAGUGAUGCGGAGGGUAAAGAGAAGGAAGCUGAGAAGGUUGGUGUGGAAUAUCAUCAUCAGCCAAAACCAGGUGAUUUUGUGGUUUCUGGCAACGAAAAUAAGCUCGGUGUGAAUAUUGGAUCAGAAUUGUUGGGCACCAGGUUGACAAAGGGGGUUCUGCCCCAGGGAGAUGUGAUUUGAAAAAUGAUGCAGAGGAGGAGUUCGUGGUUUGUGGGAAGAUGAGAAUUGUCAAGGACUGGGAAGGCCAGUUGUGGAGACUGGGAACUGUCCUUUUUGCUGAGGUUCUUGGCAGAACCCUAACCGGUGAAGCUGUACAGGUGCUUGGUGGAGCAGACAACUCGCCACGCACCCGUCUGUGUGGAUUUGUCAGAGAAGGAAUAGAAAUUGAAAGGAAAAUUUGUAAGUAUUAUUUACGAGGAUUAAGAGAAUAAAUAAUUUAAAAUUAGAUAACAGUUUAAAAAAUUUUAAUAGAAUAUAUUUGUAGAUAUAAAUUUUUUUUAAUAAUACGCGUAUUAUUUAAUAAAUUUUUUAGAAAAAAGAAUUAUUAAAAAUUGUAUUGUAAUUAAGAGUGUUUAUUUUAUUGUGGUUUUUUAUUAUAAUAUUUGUAUUUAGAAAAAAUAUUUUUGUCGUUGGGUGAGUAAAAUAUAAAAUGUUUUUGAUAAUAGUUAAAUUGAAAAUUUAUUUUUUUAUAAAUUUAAAAUAAAAAAUUACAAAAGUAACAUGAAUUUUUAUUAAAAAUAAAUGUUAUUAUUAUUGUAUAAAUAAUAACAUAUUUUCACAAUUAUUUAUAAAAAUAUUUUUAAUGGAAAACUCAGUAAGGCAAUAAAAAAAAUAUUAUCUUUUUAAUUUUCUCUCUCUGCCGCUCUUCAUCUUCGGUCUCUGGUUUUCCUUUUUUCUACCCGAGGUUCCGCGUGUUUAUAAAGCACGUAGGUUGCGUCGCGGAGACGCAGCUCAGCUCCUCUAUAAAAGUGCUGAGACUUUCUUUCCUCCUUCCGCCUCUGCUGUCUCCUGAUCCGGUAAGGUUUUCUUCUGAUUGCCCAUUAGAUCUGGUCCCGCUCCGAUCUUCUAGAGAUUGGAGGCGGUCUUCAUUCUCUCUGAACGGAAGAGUGCAGAAAAUAGGGCUCUUCUGCUUCCGAGUCUUCUCUCUUGUGGCGAUUUAGAGGUUGCGUCACGGAGACGCAGCUCAGCUCCUCUAUAAAAGCGCUGAGACUCUCUUUCCUCCUUCCGCCUCUGCCGUCUCCUGAUCCGGUAAGGUUUUCUUUUUGAUUGCCCAUUAGAUCUGGUCCCGCUCCGAUCUUCUAGAGAUUGGAGGCGGUCUUCAUUCUCUCUGAACAGAAGAGUGCAGAAAAUAGGGCUCUUCUACUUCGGAGUCUUCUCUUUUGCGGCGAUUUAGAGGUUGCGUCGCGGAGAGGCAGCUCAGCUCCUCUAUAAAAGCGCUGAGACUCUCUUUCCCCCUUCCGCCUCUUCUGUCUCCUGAUCCGGUAAGGUUUUCUUUCGAUUGCCCAUUAGAUCUGGUCCCGCUCCGAUCUUCUAGAGAUUGGAGGCGGUCUUCAUUUUUUCUGAACGGAAGAGUGCAGAAAUUGGGGCUCUUCUACUUCCGAGUCUUCUCUCUUGCGGCGAUUUAGAGGUUGCGUCACGGAGACGCAGCUCAGCUCCUCUAUAAAAGCGCUGAGACUCUCUUUCCUCCUUCCGCCUCUGCCGUCUCCUGAUCCGCUAAGGUUUUCUUUUUGAUUGCCCAUUAGAUCUGGUCCCGCUCCGAUCUUCUAGAGAUUGGAGGCGGUCUUCAUUCUCUCUGAACGGAAGAGUGCAGAAAAUAGGGCUCUUCUACUUCCGAGUCUUCUCUCUUGCGGCGAUUUAGAGGUUGCGUCACGGAGACGCAGCUCAGCUCCUCUAUAAAAGCGCUGAGACUCUCUUUCCUCCUUCCGCCUCUGCCGUCUCCUGAUCCGCUAAGGUUUUCUUUUUGAUUGCCCAUUAGAUCUGGUCCCGCUCCGAUCUUCUAGAGAUUGGAGGCGGUCUUCAUUCUCUCUGAACGGAAGAGUGCAGAAAAUGGGGCUCUUCUACUCCUGAGUCUUCUCUCUUGUGGCGAUUUAGGGUUUUCCUCAGCUUCUUCUAGGUUCUAAUCGGUGAAGAGAGACGGAAGAACAGAGUUGAAGAGGGUAGGUGAAAGGAAGAGACAAUAAUUUGUAAGAGGUAUGUAUGUGUUAAUUUCUCUUAUGGAUUUGUGAGGAAUGUAUGCCUAAACGAUAAAGAGUUCCACCCGGAAAGUUUUCUGUGUUGUUCACAGUUUUGUCACCGAAGCACUAAAAUAUUUUACAAAGAGGAAAAACUCUCUCAGUGUUACGUUUAUUACCCGUUAUUGUUGAUUUACUGUGCGAUGUUCGUGGGAGCUGUAUCGAUGUGUCUUGAUCCCUCUUGUUUUUCCCUGAUUUACAGGGACCACAGUCUGACAAUAUUGUAAUCCUCGUUGAGUAAGGGUAUGGAUUGCUGGUUCAAGAGGGUAUGCAAUAUCUGUUUACACUCACACCUCUUGGUGCGGGUUCAAGAGGUAUGCUUGCCUCGAACAUGUGGUUGAACGGUAUCUUGGCCCAUUUUGAUGCUUUGAAAUGUUUAAUUUAAAUUUUACUACAUCCCUUCAGGGGUCAUAAAAUGAAGGGUAAAUGCAAAAAUAAAACCAAAUAUAAGGUGGAGGUUUUUAGAUUUUCGACUGAAUCACAAUUGAGUUGUUGGGUUUAACAAAAUUAUAAUUCAAUUUAGCCAAGUGUGAUCGGCUGAAAAUGCUAAAUUACCCUCAGCCUGCUGUGUAAUUGUUUCAGUAUUACUCUGUUGGGCUCUUAUAAAGCAAUGGAUCCAAAUGUUGCACGAGCUGUUGAGUAAUUUCCAACUGGUUUUGGUGAUUCGCUUUUAUUAGUUGAGAUAAAAAAAUAAAACGAAUUAUUAAUUAUUAAUUUGGUUUCGGCAUUAUAAAAAAAAAUUGUAUUUGAAAAAUAUUUUUGUAGUUAGAUGAGCAAAAAAGAAAAAUGUUUUUGAUAAUAGUUAAAUUCAAAAUUUAAAAUAAAAAAUUACACUCAAUACAUUUUUACGGGUCUGCUAGAUUCAAAUAAUGUAUCGUUCUUAUUUCUCUCACGCUUUUUGGUUGUAUUUGAGCAAUAAUUUGUCAGAGGCAGCAAGCCAGAUCUGGAAAUAUGGCAAGUUUUUAGAAAUUGGUGCUGCGCGUUUAGUCAUCUUUAACCAACAAGUUCUUAUGCUGGUUUUCAGGUAAUUCUCUUUUGUUUCGCUCCCUUUCAAUCUUCUUUAAGAUCUCAGAAUGGAAGUCCCCAGCUUCCUAUCUCUUAGUCUCCUCUUAAACCUGAAGGUCAUUAUUUUUGGCCCGUCCAACAGUUCUGUUGCAGUCAAGAGAAAGGUUUCCAGGAUGCUUGAGAUGCUUGCCUCGUACAAGGGGGGGUGUACCAUGUGGGAACCGUGUUCCCAUAAUCUUGAUUCUGUCCGGUUCCAUCCAAAGUGCAUAAAGAAACCUAGUUCCCUCGCUGGAAACUGAUAAUAGUGCUCGGUAUUUUAUGUUUAUUACCAGUUAUUGUUAAUUUAUUGCGUGACUUUCAUGGGAGUUGUAUCAAUAUGUCUUGAUCCCUUUUCUUGUUCUUUGAUUUACCGGGACCAUAUUCUGAAAAUAUUGUAAUCGUCGCUCGGUAAGGGUAUGGAUUGCUGGUUCAAGAGGUUUGCAAUAUCUAUUUUCACUCGUAUCACUUGGUGCUGGAUUCAUAUGUUUUUCUUCUGUAUUAAAAAGUUACG
rnacentral:lncRNA from 1 species